rnacentral:rRNA from 1 species
AUGCCAGACUCCUACGGGAGGCAGCAGUGGGGAAUAUUGCACAAUGGGCGCAAGCCUGAUGCAGCCAUGCCGCGUGUAUGAAGAAGGCCUUCGGGUUGUAAAGUACUUUCAGCGGGGAGGAAGGUGUUGUGGUUAAUAACCACAGCAAUUGACGUUACCCGCAGAAGAAGCACCGGCUAACUCCGUGCCAGCAGCCGCGGUAAUACGGAGGGUGCAAGCGUUAAUCGGAAUUACUGGGCGUAAAGCGCACGCAGGCGGUCUGUCAAGUCGGAUGUGAAAUCCCCGGGCUCAACCUGGGAACUGCAUUCGAAACUGGCAGGCUGGAGUCUUGUAGAGGGGGGUAGAAUUCCAGGUGUAGCGGUGAAAUGCGUAGAGAUCUGGAGGAAUACCGGUGGCGAAGGCGACCCCCUGGACAAAGACUGACGCUCAGGUGCGAAAGCGUGGGGAGCAAACAGGAUUAGAUACCCGUGUAA